AUUGAACGCUGGCGGCAGGCCUAACACAUGCAAGUCGAGCGUGCGGCGGUCGGGGGGGAAUUGUAUGGGGACCGCCGGAUAGAGGGGGAUAACUACUGGAACCGGUAUCUAUACCCCCAUACUAUCGGUUAUCCCUUAGGGGAUUGGUUAGUAGGUGAGGUAAUGGCUCACCUAGUCGCCGAUCCCUAGCUGGUCUGAGAGGAUGAUCAGCCACACUGGGACUGAGACACGGCCCAGACUCCUACGGAGGCAGCAGUGGGGAAUAUUGCACAAUGGGCGCAAGCCUGAUGCAGCCAUGCCGCGUGUAUGAAGAAGGCCCUAGGGUUGUAAAGUACUUUCAGUCGGGAGGCGUUACCGACAGAAGAAGCACCGGCUAACUCCGUGCCAGCCGCCGCGGUAAUUC
rnacentral:rRNA from 1 species